rnacentral:pre_miRNA from 1 species
AGUGGGAUAGCUGGGUCAAAUGGUGGUUACAUUCCCAGUUUUCCAAGGAAUAUCCAUACUGUUUUCCAGCGUGGUUGCGCCAAUUUACAGGCCCACCAGCAAU